UCGCCACCAGCUCCACGCAGCCUUGCCUUCUCGUCCGCGAGGCGCCUAAAAAUUUGCUAAAACCCUCCUGCACAACCGGUAAAACCCCGGCGAUGCGGCGGCUCCCGAAAUCCCUCCUCCUCGCCUGCCUCUCCGCGCCCGAGCCCCGCUCCCGCCGCUCCACCCGCCACCGCCUCCCCACCACGCCCCCCCCCCCCCCGCCGUCUCCCCUUCUCCACGCAAACCCUAACCCGGGCCCCCCCUCCUGUUCUCCCCCCCGAUGCGGCGGCGGCGGCGGAGGCCAAGCCCGCGGGGCUCGCGUUCCUGGAGGCCGCGGAGCUCCACGAGUCCGAGGGCGACCACCGGAAGGCCCUCGACCUCGCCCUCAGGGCGAUCGCCCCGCUUCAGGAGUCCCACGGCGGGUGGUCGCUCCCCGUCGCGCGUGCGCUCCGCCUCGCGGGCGCCGCUGCCUCUCGCGUUGGCCUUGCCGGCGACGGUCUCGAGUCCCUCGGCGCCGCCGCGGAGAUCGUCGACUACCUGGCCCCCGCGCGGCGCGGGGAGCCCGAGGUGGCGGCCGUGGGAGCCGCCGUGCACGAGCAGCUGGCGCGCGCGAAGAUGGCCGUGGGGCGCCGGUGGGACGCGGUCGGCGACCUCCGCCGCGCGCUGGAGCUGAGGAGCGGCUGCCUGGAUGAAGGGAGUGUGGAGCUGGGGGACGCCUACAGGGAUGUCGCUGAGGCCUACGCGGGCGUGCUAGAUUUCGACAAGGCCUUGUCAUUGUGUUUGAAGGCCCUGGGGAUUGCAGAGGUACGAUUUGGUGAGGACUCCACAGAGGUGGCUAAGGUUCGGCGGCUUCUCGCAGUUAUCUAUACUGGGUUAGGUCGCCAUGUGGAUGCACAGGAGCAAAUUGAGCUUGCUAAGAUGGUGUAUGAGCUAUUGGGAUUGAGUGUCAACCUUUCCCAGGUCGAAAUUGAUGGGGCCAAUAUCCGCAUUUUGUUGGGGAGAUCCGAGGAGGCGUUGAAUGACCUUAAGAGGGUGAUGAAGCGGGCCGACAAGGACAGUGAGGAACGUGCACUAGCAUAUGUUACCAUGGCAAAGAUCUUGAGUUCCCAGGAGAGGAUCGGGGACGCAAAACGGUGCUUGGAAAUUGCUCGUGGGAUUAUCGACACAAAGGAUUCCGUGAACCCUGGGCGAAUCACUGAGGCAUAUGCUGAGAUAUCAAUGCUGCACGAGUCAAUGGGAGAAUUUGAAACAUCUUUGAGCUUGAUGAAGAAAACACUUGCAGUUCUUGAGGGUGCCAAGGAUAUGCAGCACGUUGAAGGCAGCAUCUCUGCAAGGAUGGGCUGGAUCCUCCUGCAUACGGGAAGAGUUUCUGAGGCUGUUCCUUAUCUGGAGACUGCAGUUGAUAAGUUGAAGAAUUGUUUUGGGCCGCAGCACUUUGGGUUAGGUUUUACUUAUAAGCAUUUGGGGGAGGCCUAUCUUCAGAUGGACAAACAUGAAUCAGCUGUGAAGUUCCUCACACUUGCAAAGGGUAUUAUACAUGCUACAUUUGGGCCAACACAUGAGGAUUCCAUUGACAUGAAUCAGUCCCUUGCAAAUGCAUACGGACUGAUGGGAAGCUACAAACUUGCUAUGGACUUUCAAGAACAGGUCAUAAAUGCUUACGAAAGCUGUGGCACUGAAGAUGAUCUCAGAGAAGCUUAUAGGCUUCGAGAGCAGCUCAAAAUGAAGGCGAAAGGGUUGCGUCAUGCAGUAUUUCCAGCAAAUUCAUUACCUGUGCUACCUAAACAUAAUGACUAGCGCAUCUCCAUGGAUGUCAACAUUUAGAUAUUUGAUGGUAAAUUGUUAUCGUGCCAGUGUUACCUUAAGCCUUCUAUUUAGUGGUGUUUUUGUUUUUAUACAUAUUUUGUUGCUCUAUAACGUAAUUGGUGAUUUGAACAUGCCAGAAAACUUAUUUGAGAAAGCUAAAUGAUGAUUAUGCUGUUUGUACCUGAUCAUAGUACAAUGAAUCAACUUAUUGACAGUUCUCAUGAGGAGCGCCAGCGUAGAACUGUAGUCUGUAGGUGGCUCCAUGUAUGGAGCUAGGCUUAUAUUCUGCAACUAUCAAGUCUUCUGACUUCUUUUUUUUUUAAGAAACAAGAGGGGCAGGCCCUUACUGGAUA